rnacentral:rRNA from 1 species
GACGAACGCUGGCGGCGUGCCUAACACAUGCAAGUCGAACGGAAAGGCCCUGCUUUUGUGGGGUGCUCGAGUGGCGCACGGGUGAGUAACACGUGUGUAACCUGCCCUUGUCUUUCGGAUAACUUCAGGAAACUGGGGCUAAUAUCGGAUAGGAUCUCCUGCUGCGUGGUGGGGGUUGGAAAGUUUCGGCGGUCGGGGAUGGACUGGCGGCUUACCAGCUUGCUGGUGGGGUAGUGGCUUACCAAGGGUUUGACGGGUAGCCGGCCUGGGAGGGUGGCCGGCCACCUGGGUCCUGAGGUACGGCGCAGACGCGAACAGGAGGCAACGGUGGGAAGCAUGACACAGUGGGCGCAAGCCUGAGACGGAAGCGUCGCGUGCGUAAAGACGGCCUGCGGGGUGUAAACCGCUGUCGCCUGUGACGAAGCGGGUGUGACGGUAAUGGAUGAAGAAGCACCGGCUAACUACGUG